GCCAGGAGCAGCGUCUUGCAGCUGUGCUGCUCUGCUUGGCAGAGGGAACUCCUGCAGCAGCAGAAAUGAGAAUAAAUAUAUCUGUGGGCAUCAAUACCCUUGUGUUUGGACUCAGCGAGGUACUGCAAUGUUGAGGAUAUGGAUAACUCCCACCUCUAAAGAAUUCAUUUGCAUUUCCCUGGAGCUGCCUAAUGUGGUGCAGCACAUUCAUUUGUACUCGUAGGAAAAUCAGAAAAGAACACCUACACACCUAUCUUGGUGGAGUUUACAGUCAAGCUGGAGAGAUAGCAUAAACAUAUGAAGAGAUAACUCGUAAUAUUAUGUAAUAAAUGGUAAACGUAAUCUACAUAAAAAGAAGAGGCAAUCUAUAUAGAAGUGAUCUACAUUAAUGUCUAUUGAAUCCAUGAGUGAAUCAAUGAGUGAACAACGUUUCUGAACCCACAUCACUAGUCAAAUUGCACUGGCUAGAUGUUUUACAUGCACUCUUCAAUUUGAUGCUGAAAUCAGUCUGGUAGGUAUAUAUUAUUCUUUUCA